rnacentral:rRNA from 1 species
UAGGGAAUCUUCGGCAAUGGACGAAAGUCUGACCGAGCAACGCCGCGUGAGUGAAGAAGGUUUUCGGAUCGUAAAACUCUGUUGUUAGAGAAGAACAAGGACGUUAGUAACUGAACGUCCCCUGACGGUAUCUAACCAGAAAGCCACGGCUAACUACGUGCCAGCAGCCGCGGUAAUACGUAGGUGGCAAGCGUUGUCCGGAUUUAUUGGGCGUAAAGCGAGCGCAGGCGGUUUCUUAAGUCUGAUGUGAAAGCCCCCGGCUCAACCGGGGAGGGUCAUUGGAAACUGGGGGUCUUGAGUGCAGAAGAGGAGAGUGGAAUUCCAUGUGUAGCGGUGAAAUGCGUAGAUAUAUGGAGGAACACCAGUGGCGAAGGCGGCUCUCUGGUCUGUAACUGACGCUGAGGCUCGAAAGCGUGGGGAGCAAACAGG